rnacentral:tmRNA from 1 species
GGGGGUGAAUUAGGUUCGACAUAGGUAGAAAUGGCAUCAGCAGCGAGCCGAGGUCCCCAAUACCUCGUUAAACCUUGGGACAUAAAAAUAAGUGCAAACAACAAAUAUUCCUUAGCUGCUGCGUAGCAGGCUAACGCCUCUUUGUUCCCUGCCUGUGGGAGCACUGCAGGUGUCAUAACAGCAGGCUACCUGAACAGCCCAACCCGGGGUUGUUUGGGGAAACUUACAGGGUUAGCCGUCUGCUCACCUGGCUGCAGAGAGGGGCAGAUAGCGAAAGCUUAAACUGCAGCUGCGCUCGGAGAUACUGGUGUGGUUUCACUUAUGGACAGCGGUGCAACUCCGCUCACCUCCACCA